UACGGAGGGGGCUAGCGUUAUUCGGAAUUACUGGGCGUAAAGCGUACGUAGGCGGUGGUUCAAGUCAGAGGUGAAAGCCCGGAGCUCAACUCCGGAACUGCCUUUGAAACUAGAUCGCUAGAACAUCGGAGAGGUAAGUGGAAUUCCGAGUGUAGAGGUGAAAUUCGUAGAUAUUCGGAAGAACACCAGUGGCGAAGGCGGCUUACUGGACGAUUGUUGACGCUGAGGUACGAAAGCGUGGGGAGCAAACAGG
rnacentral:rRNA from 1 species